rnacentral:tRNA from 1 species
UGGCUCAGUUGGUAGAGCGUGUGACUCUUGAUCUCCCGGUGGUGAGUUCAAGCCUCAC